GAUCAAAUUAUGAAGCUGCAGGCCCAAUUAUUGGAACAACACAAAAUAUUAGAUAACAGCAAUGCUAAGGAUGCUCAAAUUUUGAGUCUACAAGCUCAGGUAGGGGAAAAGAACAAAUUGGAACGGAACAGUUUCCAAACAGUGAAGGAGGUUUUUCCAAACUCAUCCCUAACUGAACAUGAGGAUGAAUUGGCAUUAGGCGAACACAGUCAGUUAUUCAGUCUACCACCUGACAGUGUGUUAAAGUUAAAUUCUGUUAGUGCUGCACUAAAAGAAUUGUUAGUAAUAAGUCCAUGCAGCGAAGGAAGUGAACAAUUGUGGGACCGUAUUUGGGCUGAAAAUGGGUGUGGUACGGAAACCCAGAAAUAGCAUGAGUUCAACAUAAAACAUGAAUUAGAAUUUUAGUGGGGGAUCAAGUCAAGUCUCGAAGUGUUACAGGAUGGAAGAGUGAGCCUACAGUUGAAAAACACUGAAAGUGCAUUACCAUUAAGAGUGUUGGUGAAGCUGGGUACUUAAAUGGCCCUAAAGAUGUUUCGUUUCGUUGGCAUUGCAGCGAUGAACAUCAUACAUGGACUUUUUAGGAAAGGAUUUUCAGCAUACUGGGAACACAACUAUCAACAAUGCAACAUUCUAGGGGUGCUAUUUUAUCAUUCAAGAGCCUUAUACAAUGAUUUUCAUCUGCAAUUUGUAUGGCCUUUCCCAAGCUUCUGCCAGAAGUUGAAUCUAUAAGUCACAUAAGUCACAUGAGCAACAAUUGAGAUGCUUAAUGGUGUUGUUUUUCUUUUCUCAGCAUAGGUUAAUAGUAACAUUGGAUCUGAAAAGAUUCUUGGUUGGGGCAAGA